AAAAAGAUAAGCUAAAUUAAGCUUAUGGGCUCAUACCCCGUCUAUGAAGACUACUUCUCUUUUUA
rnacentral:tRNA from 5 species